CUGGCCUCCAAACACACCUGGCAGGCUGGGCCAGAUUCCUCUACGCUUUGGAUCUUUUUCUUUACGCUUAAGGAGGAGUAAAUCCCACUGAAAGGGAAGGGACUUGGUUCUGGAUAGACUUGAAGAAGACCGGGAGGGACGAAAAUGUUGUUUCCUUGGCAGGGCUGGCUUUAGGAUUUUUCAGAUAAGGGCCGGCGGCUCCGAAGACUCCGCUUGCUUCCUGCCACUUGACCUCCAGGAAAAAUUCCAUUAAGUCACCGUUGUUAGCUCACUUUCAAG
rnacentral:lncRNA from 11 species